rnacentral:rRNA from 1 species
GAUGAACGCUGGCGGCGUGCCUAAUACAUGCAAGUCGAGCGAACGGACGAGAAGCUUGCUUCUCUGAUGUUAGCGGCGGACGGGUGAGUAACACGUGGAUAACCUACCUAUAAGACUGGGAUAACUUCGGGAAACCGUAGCUAAUACCGGAUAAUAUUUUGAACCGCAUGGUUCAAAAGUGAAAGACGGUCUUGCUGUCACUUAUAGAUGGAUCCGCGCUGCAUUAGCUAGUUGGUAAGGUAACGGCUUACCAAGGCAACGAUGCAUAGCCGACCUGAGAGGGUGAUCGGCCACACUGGAACUGAGACACGGUCCAGACUCCUACGGGAGGCAGCAGUAGGGAAUCUUCCGCAAUGAGCGAAAGCCUGACGAAGCAACGCCGCGUGAGUGAUGAAGGUCUUCGGAUCGUAAAACUCUGUUAUUAGGGAAGAACAUAUGUGUAAGUAACUGUGCACAUCUUGACGGUACCUAAUCAGAAAGCCACGGCUAACUACGUG